rnacentral:rRNA from 1 species
AGCGAACGCUGGCGGCAGGCCUAACACAUGCAAGUCGAACGAAGUCUUCGGACUUAGUGGCGGACGGGUGAGUAACACGUGGGAACGUGCCUUUAGGUUCGGAAUAACUCAGGGAAACUUGUGCUAAUACCGAAUGUGCCCUUCGGGGGAAGGAUUUAUCGCCUUUAGAGCGGCCCGCGUCUGAUUAGCUAGUUGGUGAGGUAAAGGCUCACCAAGGCGACGAUCAGUAGCUGGUCUGAGAGGAUGAUCAGCCACAUUGGGACUGAGACACGGCCCAAACUCCUACGGGAGGCAGCAGUGGGGAAUCUUGCGCAAUGGGCGAAAGCCUGACGCAGCCAUGCCGCGUGAAUGAUGAAGGUCUUAGGAUUGUAAAAUUCUUUUACUAGGGACGAUAAUGACGGUACCUGGAGAAAAAGCCCCGGCUAACUUCGUGCCAGCAGCCGCCGCUGUAA